UGGAUAAGGAUGAAGCGUCAAUCUAAUCCAACACUUGAUCUGAGAUUUUUACUUUCCAGUGAUGCUAAGUAGUUUGCUUCUGAAUCCCU